CUCUGUCUGAUAAGGCCGUGACCCACCAACCCCAUAAUCGGCCGUGGGACAGUCUGGCGAGGUCAGAGACUUCAAUCUGGUCGGUGUGUUCGUGUCGUCGU